GAUGUCAAGAUGGCUGCUAUACACACCCAAGGACA
rnacentral:tRNA from 1 species